rnacentral:rRNA from 1 species
GACGAACGCUGGCGGCGUGCUUAACACAUGCAAGUCGAACGGAAAGGCCCUGCUUUUGUGGGGUGCUCGAGUGGCGAACGGGUGAGUAACACGUGAGUAACCUGCCCUUGACUUUGGGAUAACUUCAGGAAACUGGGGCUAAUACCGGAUAGGAGCUCCUGCUGCAUGGUGGGGGUUGGAAAGUUUCGGCGGUUGGGGAUGGACUCGCGGCUUAUCAGCUUGUUGGUGGGGUAGAGGCUUACCAAGGCUUUGACGGGUAGCCGGCCUGAGAGGGUGACCGGCCACAUUGGGACUGAGAUACGGCCCAGACUCCUACGGGAGGCAGCAGUGGGGAAUAUUGCACAAUGGGCGGAAGCCUGAUGCAGCAACGCCGCGUGCGGGAUGACGGCCUUCGGGUUGUAAACCGCUUUCGCCUGUGACGAAGCGUGAGUGACGGUAAUGGGUAAAGAAGUACCGGCUAACUACGUG